AGCAACCUGCCCCGAAGACUGGGAUAACACCGGGAAACCGAUGCUAAUACUGGAUAUCCUCACGAGAUCGCAUGGUCAUUUGAGGAAAUGGAUUCCGCUUCGGGAGGGGCUCGCGGGCUAUCAGCUUGUUGGUGGGGUAACGGCUCACCAAGGCGACGACGGCUAGCUGGUCUGAGAGGAUGAUCAGCCACACUGGAACUGAGACACGGUCCAG
rnacentral:rRNA from 1 species